rnacentral:rRNA from 1 species
GACGAACCGUGCGAACGUUAUUCGGAAUCACUGGGCUUAAAGCGCGUGUAGGCGGAUGGGUGCGUCGGCCGCUGAAAUCCCCCGGCUUAACCGGGGAAGGGGCGCCGAAACGACUCGUCUGGAGGGACGUAGGGGGAGCUGGAACUUCCGGUGGAGCGGUGAAAUGCGUUGAGAUCGGAAGGAACGCCCGUGGCGAAAGCGGUCGGUCUGGGCCGGUACUGACGCUGAGGAGCGAAAGCGUGGGGAGCGAACAGG